AUUGAACGCUGGCGGCAGGCCUAACACAUGCAAGUCGAACGGUAACAGGAAGAAGCUUGCUUCUUUGCUGACGAGUGGCGGACGGGUGAGUAAUGUCUGGGAAACUGCCUGAUGGAGGGGGAUAACUACUGGAAACGGUAGCUAAUACCGCAUAACGUCGCAAGACCAAAAAGGGGGACCUUCGGGCCUCUUGCCGUCGGAUGUGCCCAGAUGGGAUUAGCUAGUAGGUGGGGUAACGGCUCACCUAGGCGACGAUCCCUAGCUGGUCUGAGAGGAUGACCAGCCACACUGGAACUGAGACACGGUCCAGACUCCUACGGGAGGCAGCAGUGGGGAAUAUUGCACAAGGGGCGCAAGCCUGAUGCAGCCAUGCCGCGUGUAUGAAGAAGGCCUGCGGGUUGUAAAGUACUUUCAGCGGGGAGGAAGGGAGUAAAGUUAAUACCUUUGCUCAUGGACGUUACCCGCAGAAGAAGCACCGGCUAACUCCGU
rnacentral:rRNA from 1 species